GACGAACGCUGGCGGCGUGCCUAAUACAUGCAAGUCGAGCGGGACUCUUCGGAGUCUAGCGGCGGACGGGUGAGUAACACGUGGGCAACCUGCCUGUAAGACUGGGAUAACACCGGGAAACCGGUGCUAAUACCGGAUAAUCCUUUUCCUCUCAUGAGGAAAAGCUGAAAGUCGGUUUCGGCUGACACUUACAGAUGGGCCCGCGGCGCAUUAGCUAGUUGGUGAGGUAAUGGCUCACCAAGGCGACGAUGCGUAGCCGACCUGAGAGGGUGAUCGGCCACACUGGGACUGAGACACGGCCCAGACUCCUACGGGAGGCAGCAGUAGGGAAUCUUCCACAAUGGACGAAAGUCUGAUGGAGCAACGCCGCGUGAGCGAUGGAGGCCUUCGGGUCGUAAAGCUCUGUUGUUAGGGAAGAACAAGUACCGGAGUAACUGCCGGUACCUUGACGGUACCUAACCAGAAAGCCACGGCUAACUACGUGCCAGCAGCCGCGGUAAUAC
rnacentral:rRNA from 1 species